AAAGGUCAUUGCAGAUUUUGCCAUUACUUUUAGUGGCAAAAUCGUCUAUGACUUUUGC
ensembl:miRNA